UGAGGGGAGCAGAGGGGUCCCCGGGAUGAGCGAGGCUCCCUGGCCGGGAAUACCCGGGGGAAACUGCUCGUGUGGGGUACGGGCUCCUACCGGCGGAGGAAAAUUAAUCCAAAGUGUUUUCAUGGAGAUUGUGACGGAGAAACCCAGAGAAAUUGCUGGCUUUCCCGACCUCAUGGCACAGAUCACAUUUUCGGAUAGUUUAGCACCAUAUAGUCGUCCAAAGGGCUGAACCGUCAAAGGCGAUAUGUUAAUUUCCAUGUUCUGAUAGCUACCGCUGACUAGUGAAAUAGAAAAGUGCCUUAAGAAUACGGCCUAGCUCAGGAACAAAGAACAGAAAUGCAGAAAUAAGGGCCGAACGAGGCCGUCCUUCAGCACACCAAGGUUCUGGGUUUCAGGGCACACUGAAGGAGGCUGUUGUCUCUGCCGUGUUUGGGCCUUUCACAUCAGCGUUUCUCAAGGAGCUCAGGUGUGGUCAAUACAGAAGCUGCUGAGCCAUUGUGGAAGGACGAGGUGUUUACCAAAAAUCUGCCAUCACACUUGCCUGUGAUAAAGUGUUUGACUCUAAGGCCACCUGAUCCUUGGGUAGAGAGGUCAUCUAAAGGAGAUAGCCACAGAAAACACAGGCCUGACUGUUUUUUAUCAGACAUUAAUGCAGAAAUCCUCCUCUCAAGCCAACCUUAGCAGAUGGAAAUGCUCUCAGGUAACUGCAGCAGCCGUCUAUCACCCUGACAUUCAGAAAUAGCUUCUCUGCCCCUUGGUCAUGCCCGUUGUACAGACACAAGGCUUCUCCCCUGCAUCCUGCAAAUUUUAUCAACAAACAAGACUUUUCACGUUGGAGUUUUGACCCUUUUGGGAGCAGAGGAAACAUUGCUGGCAGUAAGAAUAACCCUCUUGUCCACGGCUCAUGCGAGGGAGCUGCAGCUGCACGGCUGCGACUCCCAGUGAUUCAAGGACAGGAGAGAAGUAAAAGUAAUCGAGCAGCAGUGGCUGGGCCCAGUGUGUGUGUUUGUUUCUGCAAAUGCUGACACAGGGAAGCUGUUUGCAAGGGAGCUCUUCCACUUCUCUGAAUCCUGAUACCAGGAUUAGGAAGGCACAGCAAUACUCAGCUGACAGUGAUCAGAGCUGUAUCAAAGGAACAGCACAGUCUUUUUGCUUGAGGGACAUUUUGGAGUGGGUAUUUGGGGUUAUAGACCUCUCUCACUACUUCAGGCACAGCUCCAAAUUUUCAGCCUGGCUACCACAGCACACAAGAUGUUUCACCUCAGUAAACACGAUUUGGAAAAGGAUCUGGUGCUCUGCAAACCCCACUAAUGCCAUUCCAUUUUUAGAGAAAGACUUGUCUCUAGUAUAUUAGAACAUCUUCCUUGUUGGCACAGAGCAUAUUAUGUUCAACAUAAUCAUAAUUCUCUGGACAAGAAAUCAGAGGUUUAAGACCUGAGUUUUCCAGUGCAGAAGGUACAUGCAGGAAGAGGACUAAAGGGAAGUGUUCACACAGGCUCAAACAUUUAUUGCAACUAGCUAGUAUCCCUCUGCAUAGAGUGAAAAGUCACCUCCUGAAUAUGGAAUAGCUUUUCUCUACCCUCCUUUAUCUUCAAAAGGUUCUUAUGUCCAGGUAAGAGAUGCUAACAAGUGUCCAAAUUACUACUGUUAUUAAUGGAAAAAACAGGAUGAAUGGACAAUAUUAGUUAAAAAUUCUUUUAAAGUUGAUGUGGAAUAUACAGCAGCAAUUGAGGUAAUUUUUGAGAAACAACGUGCAAUUUCCACUUUAAAAUGAUAUUGAAACAUCAUGCUCCACCCAAGCAAAAUCAAUACAUGAAGUUGUGGAAGACACCUUGCAGCAACAGACCAAUCAAUGUUUUCUUUAAGAAUUAAAAAGUACUUACAUGACAUAGAGGUAAGUAGUUUAUAUGUGAGUAAGUAGUUUAACUUUCACAAAAAAAGCAGUAGUUUCCAGAGCUGGAAGAUAAAAGUAGACAAAUCCAAACUAGACAUUAUGUAUGCAUUUCAGGAAUGCAUGUAAUCAACAGCUAAACCAAUUUACUUGGGACUUCCAACAAAAUCAGUGUAAAACUGUGUCCUCACAACUGUGUCUCAGAGGACAGUGCCUUGAUAAAUCUCAGGCAGUGAUUUCUAGUAUGGUUUCUCUUAUACAUCAAGUCUGAUAUUGUGGUCAAAGUGGCUUUCAGCUUUUAUCAAACUAUACUAAAAAAUGUGAAAAGAAGUGUGACGUGAUUUUAGUGUGUUGACUGUACUGUGUUCUUUUAUCUUUGGACAAACAGGGAGAGCAGACUGAAGAAGUGUACUUGACCUAAGUGAAUUGUGCAGCACAUGAGCUUAGACGUAGAGAAGGUCCUGUGUUAUCCAAAAAAGGUAAUGGCAAGGUCACUGCAGGGCAAGAACAUUAAAAGAGGUUUGGUUGAAACAGAAUGUUUGGGAUGCUUGAUACAAUUGUUCUUGGUUGAUGGAGUUCAUGGUUAAAAUGUUGCAAUGUAACAUGACGCCAAAAUUACUGAUACAAGCUUAACACAGUAUAUUGUAGCUAACAAGAAUUAUAUUGAAUGUAUCAACCAACAUGGCUAUGAAAUGCUAAAAAAUUAAGUCACAAAUAUUCCAUUCUCUUAAACAGUUUGGCUCUUCAGACCUUUCUCACAAGUGAUAUUUCUAGAUCCUCUGUUGCCCUGCUCAAAGCUGCAAUGAAAUAAAAUAAUAGUUUUCAUUUUCAAAAUAAAAAGAUAAUGCAAUCUCUUGGCAUCUGUUUGAAUAAAACCAAUUUGAUGUCUAAUCUGACUUAAACGGAUCAGAAAUGAAUGUACCAAAGAUCAGGCAAAUAGUUCCUAUUUGAUCACAGUCUGAUUUGCCUGCCAAUGUGAAAUCUACUACAAAUCACAAGAGCAAGUAGCCUGAAGCACCAAUUUAUUGUCUGUCAACUAAAGGAAGGCUUAUCUCCACAAACUUGCUGCCAGGUUUUUGUCUCUACAAAAUAAAAAAUGGACUCCUCACUCACAGGAGAAACAGAAGUACCUGGAGGUGGAUGCAUGGAAUACAUUCACGAAACCUUGCUCUGCUUCAGUGUUUCAGAAAACAAGUCCUAGAUCAAAAGCCAUUUGAUGGGAUCUCACAGAGAUGAGAGCAGAAACACUAACAUACAUCUUGUGUUCUUUAACCAGGAAACAGUCUGUUCAGUUCAGCCAGCCCUUCCUUGCUCUGAUGGGUGUCUAUGAGCUAAUCUGAUGUAUUUCAGUCAGUUGUAGUAACAAUAGAUAAUAUUUAUUUUUGAUUGUUUGCUUUUGCCACCUCUCCAGCACCUUCCUGUGUGGCUUUGAAAGAGCUUCCAAACUCCCUCUAUGCUGCACCCCAGAAAAGAACAAAACAAAGACAAUGUACCAAGUUAGGUCUUCCACACAGCUAGAGCAGGGACACCAAAAAAAUGCCCAAAAGGCUGAACUUGUCACAAAGCUUAGUUUAAUUUGACAAUCAUCAUAAGGCAUCCAUGUAAAUGAAAAAUUCCCACCAGGGUAACAAACAUUCUCCCACUAAAUAAAAUAUGUUAGAACAGAGGCCCGUGAUUCCAAAAAAAUGCUAGUGGUUCCUGGUCUCAACCAGGCUGCCACUGCUGGCAGUGGGGUCCAGGAGACACAGCACCAACAGUGGCAGCUCCAGAAGUGUAAAGUCAGCUUGUACAAAUCUCUUUCAAUAAAACAACAAAUGAAAAGGAAAGAGAUUUGUGUAGAAAACAUCAUUCUCCAUCCUUUCUGGGAAAACAAAACAGAAUUUAAAAGAUAAUCCCAUUCAAGGAGCAAAGAGCAGAGCUUGGAGUUCUGAAGCCCAAAAAUGCUGAUGGCCCAUUUUUAAAACUAAUGAAGCACUACAGAGGCCUGAGUUUAUUAUUGCUUUAUCCCAGUUCAGCCCAGGCUAAGGCUAUGGUGAAGUCCAAAUUAAUUUAAAGCCAGAAAAUGCAGAUCCAGUAACAGCACCUAAGUCCCAUCCACACAUGGGUGUAAACAGAUACUUUUGGUGAAGAAAACAAGGCCCUCCCAAAUUUCCUCCUCUUCCUGUCUAUGCAGAUACUUUUGGUGAAGAAAACAAAGCCCUCCCAAAUUUCCUCCUCUUCCUGUCUAUGCAGAUCCCCAUUGCAGGGCUAAAAUUUGCCCUGAAGUAUAAAACAAUUUCUCUCUUACAUCUCUGGUUAGCUGAGUCUUUUCCAGAUGUUUUGCCUUUUGUUCAUACUAUCCUGGUGAUGCAUCAGCUCAGAGAUGCCUUGUGGGAGCUCACAGAGAGCACACAGGUACCCACAUAUUAAAAGGUUUGUGGCACAGAUCUAAGAACCGUCACCUGUACCCUACAACACCCCAGGACACUUUGCCCUUGGCUUCCUGAGACCAUACAGCACAGAAGGAAGACAGUAUCUUCUCAUCCUGCAUGGCUGGCCAGUGAUCCAGAGAAACAGCAUGCCAGGGAAAUGAAAUGGCACCUUACUCCCACCAUAAGUCAGAAAACAGACUUGGGUAAAGCGGGACUUAAAAGUUUCACAUCAAGAAACAUGGUGCUUCCCUCAGAUUAUUGUAUGACAGGGCCACUGUUAUUCAGGCAAACAUUAUUCAAGGCAGUAAAACCUUAGCAUGGGUAUUUUCAUGGCUGACCUACAGGCCAAGAUAUGCUGGGGUUCUUAAAAAAAUUACAGGUCUUGGUAAUUCCUCCAAAAGGACAGAAUAGAAGACACACAGAGUGCAUGUGAUGCAUGUGUCACACAUCCUGACACACGAGCAAAGUUGCAGCUAGACUUGUCAAAACAGUUAAAAAGAUUUAGGCAUCCAGAUAGUACCAAAAUUGAUGGCAUUUGGGAACCUAAUUUUAACUUUGAAAAUUCAAGCCUACACAUUUCUUUAUUGCUUGUCCCAUUGAGUGCAAAGGGAAAACUGAGGAUAGGGUUAACUACAGAAGGAUUUCAAAUCCAUCAUAAUGUUUCCCUGUUCUUUUUUAUAUAUUUCUUAAUAUAUUUAAAGAGCAUUAUUAUUAUUAUUAUUUAGCCACCUAUGGGCAGGGGGGAACAGCAGCUAUUAGUCUCUCAUUUAAGCAUUAGUCCCCUUCCUUCCAAAUCACAAUACCUCUGUCACAGGAAGGAGCAUAACAUGAAAACAUGUUUGCUGCCACUAACAAUUCCCGAGUCUCUCCUUUGCAGAACUUUAGCCCAAAUAUUAGGACAAUGACAGCUUGACACAUACACACUCCCCAGCAACAUACACACAGCAAGUAGGACAUACUCCACAGCCUCAGUGGCCUCAGACAAAAAAAAAAAAAGAAAAAAUAAGAAGAAAAAGAAUACCCUCCCAUCAAACAACAAAUCUGAAGAAACCAUCCGGAAGAGCCUCAGGAAAGGGAACUAUCCACUUUCCAUGGAGAAGCAACAGCCCAGGAGUCCCUGCCCAGUAAAAACUGAACCAAAUAUUUGUCACACAGCUGGUGGAGAUCUCUGAAACCUGGCAGUAUUACACACUGGAUACUUGAAGGCACAUUUGCUUUGUGUUUUGGGAGAGAAAUCCAGUUACAACACACUGCAGCUGCAAGGCUGAGGGAAAGGAGGCAACGCUUGGUAUCUUUCCUCUGUUCCUGUCCCCAUUUUCAAGCUUUGUGGCUGGCAUGAACUGGUGAUCUAAGCAGACACGUUGACAUCCCUGAGUGAAAUGGCACCAUUUGUGGCCUCUGAGACUUUGUCCUCAAGCACCAUUGCUGGUGUGUCUGUAGUGACUGCUGUAGUGUCUAUGGCAGGAAGUGGAUUCAAGCCCUGGGAUAAGAUCUGUUGGAUCGUUUUCCGCAAAUUGGGGUGCAGCUGGUUUUGGGUCUGGUAAAAAAUUUCUAAGGCAAAAGACUUGAGAGUGCCAGUGCAAAGGUCCUCAUAAAGUGGAAUUGUGUACAUCCGAGACAUCUACAAAAAAAGGAAAAUAAGAUAAAAACAUUUAAAUAAAAGUCAAGAAGUUCCGCUCUUCCACAGACACACUCCAACAGCCCUGAGAAACUUCAGACUGAAGACAAGCAACACAUUUCUUCAAAACACAGAUAAGUUUAUUCUAAGUCUGAUGCAAGGAUUUUUAUGAAUGGUAACAAAAAAAAAUCUGCUCUCUGAGACUGAGCUACUUCCACAAAUAACAGAACUAUUUUUAAAGGCCAGAUAGAAGAGGCCACACUGAACACAUGCAUUAACCUUUUGCUCCAGCACAAUAACAACUACUGAAAAGAACUCGAUGAGCCCUAGCCUUGCUUGAAGUGUAAAUAUUCAAAUAAUCACAUGAUUUAGCAGUGCAAAACCUUGUGGUCUAGAAAAGCCAGGGCUGCUACAAAGCCAUACAUAAAAUGCAUGGGGCAGAGCUGGGACAAGGGUAUUGAGUCAGGCUAGAAAAGCAGAGAUUAUCUGUAGGCAUUUGAAAUUACAUCUGCCCAUUCCUCCCCACCGCUAGCAGGUGAGCCAUGCUCAGCCCCUUCGCAACACACCUGGGCUACACUUGGCCAGGAAGCAGAAGUUCCAAGGUCUUUCACGUCGCAUGUCUCAUGCACAUGUCUCAUGCACUGAGAGGUGCAGUGAGUUUAAUCCAGCAGUUAGUACCUGGUUUUCCAAGAAGCGACGGACUUUGUAAAGGUCUGGGUAAUAGUCAUUUCGGACUACAAUCUGCAACCAGCGGAUACGGAUUUCUGCAUUCAUGGAGUCCAGCUGAGAGGAGUAACAUUCCGAGAGCUUUUUUAUCACCUCUGAAGAGAGCACACACACAGGGAAAGAACUGUGACCUACUUUGUCAAUUUUGAGGGUUAUCAGAUAAUAACAACUCGUCAAAUCACAGGAUCAUAGAAUCUGUUGGUCUGGGAAAGACUUUUGAAGAUCACCUAUUCUAAUCCCUCUGUGACAUAGCCAGGGACAUCAACCUGACUUUACGUGAAUUAUAAUGACAGCCAGAGGCAGGGACCUUUAGAAUUCAAUCAGUUAUUCCACGCGUAAUUUUCUACUAUCCUGGAAAGAAUACUCACCAUGUGGCAGUGGUGAUCCAUCCAGCAAUCUGUCCAGGAAAAGCACAGUUUGGAACGUUCUCCAUUUAGUGAGGUCAACACUGCUGGCAGCAGCAACAGAGUCCAGAGGCUCUGUGGUCCAGAGUUUGAAGAGUGUCUCCACUGGUCUGGUCAGACUGGAUCCCUGAGAUAAGUCUGGCUCAGCUAACGGAGGUCCUGUAGCAUUGAGCCAACGUUCAAACUCCAGUCCUGGAAUGAGGAGUACCAAAAAUGUGGAGCACAGUUCUCUGCAGGUGGCUUGGCUGCCUCAAAGUUCAGGACCGUUUCUAGCAUAGUUAAGGGAGGUUGUAACAACAGCAACCAAUAGUUAUAGUGACACAACAGUCUUAGCAGCCUCAUUGGGAUAGCCUAUGGAACAGCAGGAAGAGUGCCAGCAACACUGCUCCAAACCUCACUGUGAGUUUUCUAGAGCUCAACAGUACAGUAAGUACAAGAAACAAACAUGCUCUUAAGGCAGCCAGGCUAACAAGUACCUAUGUUCAAAUUAUACUUUAAUAUUUGUGUGCCUGCACUUCUCUCUCAGAAUUUUGAGGAAGACUGACACAUAUAGAGAAAAACCAUUAAAAAAAAAAGGAGGUAAGAGGGAUGACUAAACUCCUCCAUAAAAGCAAUUUAUAUUUAUUUAUGCAACUAAUUAAAAAAAAAAAAAGUUUCUUCACAAACAGCAGAGCCUGCUUUCCAGCAGAGCUGCUCUUCUUGACUUUUUACCAUCUCUGUACUUUUCUAACUCAUGGCAAUACUUCCAGUUCCACACCAUCUACUAAAACUCCUACCCUUCUGCAUCCCCUGAAUAUUAGCCAGGCAAAAAUUAGCAACUUCUGUGGUUAACUCAUUAGCCUAUCAGUGGGCCAAAUAAAACACAGAACUGCUGAGCUCAUGCUGCAGCUUUCCCCACAGUAAACUCUCUCCUCUCACAGGCAGUUUCCUCUCCACAAAGCCUGCAGGCACCAAGUAUCCUUAAGAGCUCAAGUACUCUGCUGGUCUGGUUUAAACUGUCCAACAGCUAUUCACAGGGAUGGACACAUGGCAGGAUAACAUGAGUCUCAUUUCUUUAAGAAAGUGAGAUAUUAAGCACCUGUAGGCCACAGACCUUCCACAAAUCCACCAACAGCUACAAAGAGGUGAUAUAAGGUGCCAGGUUCUGGGAAUCGCCAUACCACAAAUUUUCAAAGAAACCAAUAAAAGGUUGUUUUAAAUAUCAUCUAGAUAGAAGACUGCUUCACCCACCCAACUGUGACCACAGAACUAGAGAGCUACCAGUGAAGGAGACAGAGCAGCCUCAGCCAAAAGCAAUACCUGGCUCCAGUUUAACCUGAAGCUUGCUGACCGGGUUGUCUUCUCCAAGGAGCUUCAUCUGUCUGUGGAGAGCAUCGAGGCGGAAUGCAGUCUCCAAACACGUGAAGGCAGCUCCUGCCCCAAAAGGCUGCACUGGAAAACAAAACAUCAUGAAAAUUAUGCUGAAGUUUACAUCCUUGACAUCAUCUCAUCAAUUCUUGCAAAAUAAGGAGAGCGGCACUGAAAAAAGUAUUGUACAGGUAACUUUCAAGGAGCAAUCAAGUCCCACAAAAACAUACUGUCACUGGUAGAACAGUAAACACAAUUCCAUACUCAGUGCCAAAGAUAUUACUAAGCAAAUGUCACCUCUUGAGUGGAAAGAGAAAAGAAUUGGAUUUGGUAAUUGUAUUACAGAUCCUGUGUACAUUUUUUAAGCUUUAUCUAUCAUCCUACCUGUUUUUGCCCUAAGUAUUUCCCCUUCCUCUCAUUAGGACUUUUUACAGUGUGACUGGGUAAGCUGCUCCUCCUCCCUAACUGAAAUGUAGAGCUUUCCAUGCUUUCAAACCAAACUAGCUGUAUUACACUGCCAAGUCAAGAGAUCUUUCCUAUGCCCUUGCAGACAUUAGAAGCUGCAGAAAAUGGAUUUUUAGAUUCAGAAGAUUCUUAACAUCCAUAACUAUUAAAAUUUUAGCCUUCUUUGCUGACUUUUUAACCUGAAGAUAGGUUUGUUACAUAGAUACAACCUCAGAGUCUCAGUGUAACACCCAAAUCCUACAUAGCCAAAUGUGAAAUAAGAACCAGGAUAUAUUUGGAAAACAUAUAUUUUGGAGAACCUGUAAGAGCAGAGAAAGAAGUGGAUGUGCUUCCCAGGGGAAAGCAAGAACUAGAGUAACUAGUGUAAAGGGCAAUUACUUCAAGCUACAGAGAAGAGAAUUAAGCAAGAUCCAAGAGGAGUGGUAGUCAGUGGACUCAAAUUUCCCUGAAUAAUAUCAUUGCAAAGAUGCCUAUUUACUAUCAACAGAAAAUACUCCAGAAAUUAUGUAAGAAAUGGUAAUAUUUAGAUCAAAGGUUUGUCUUGGAAACAAAACAGAAUGGAAAAAGUGUUUACUAAACAAUUGCACAGGGAAAGACAUUUUUUAGUUUCCCAGCAAAUGCUUCUUGAAACAGCCAGUUCUAGAGAACAGACCAAAAUCAGCAAGGAUUUUGUUCUAUGUUGGAUGGAACAGACUAAGAUGAUGAACAGGUUGAUAUCUGCUGACCUACCCACAUUACUGCCAUGCAUAAUGUGACUUAGGACAGUGAGUACUACUCACGGAGAAUUACUCAACAUAAAACAGCUUUUUUAUAAAACAGAUAUAUAAUAUACAUUGUAACAUCUCCAUAGAUGCUCAGAGCACUUCUUUGCCUAAACUUGUAAUCAGUUCAUGUCCAAAAACAAUACACAUGAACAAAAACAAAUGUUUUCUUCUAAACAUUUUUGCUGUCAAGAUUUCUAGGAACUUUUCUAUGAUUGUUUACAUUGGAUGCUUGAGAAAACACAUGGAACUGGCUUUUAAGAACAAAACAGUACAAACUAGAAAAGCAUACAUUCCCAUUAUUCACUUCAAUAACAAGCCAAUUAAACUUAAAAGAAAGAGGAAUAAUUUACUACUUAUGUAUUCUAAAGACUGCACCAUAAAACUGACCUGUGAAAUUCACUGACACAAGCAAAGGCAGGGUUUACAAUCCUGCACGAAGUCUCCAGCACAUAAAUAGCUACAUAAAUCUGCACUUCUUUUCUUAAUGCUACUGACAUAAUUCUUUUUAACAGUAGGUAGCUACUAAAUGAUCAGAAUCAAAAGGACACUUGUUCAGAGCACAGUUAUUUCACAAUGUAACUUUUAUAAGAUUUCUUACACCUUUCUCUGAACUAUCCUCUGCUGACUUUGCUCUGACAUGUCAGCACCUCCCUGGUACCCCACAGUAGUUCCAAGUCCCCACAGCAUUGUGCUAACACACAUCACUCAAAGCCCCUGGUACCAUAUCUGGUAUUGAGCCCACUAAAGCCAAGACAACGUCAAACUCUAAGUAUGCAAGAUGUUCAACACAAAGUUUGGGGCUGUGUGUGGGUGUGAGUUCCAGAAAUAAAACAAAACCUAACUGAAAACCAGCUCCCUACAGCCUUGUGAGCAUUAAGGCAAAUCCUCCAAGCAGGCAGCUCUGAGUUAUGGCAAGAAGGAGCGCAAGGAGAAGUUUCUGAGCCGUACCGUAGGUCUCGGUGGUGAUCCGGCGCUGCGCGUAGGUGGCCAGGCCCUCGCUCAGCCACAUCUCCUCCCACGUGGCGUUGGUGACCGCGUUCCCAAACCAGCUGUGGGCAACUUCAUGAAUGACGUCAAUGAUCAAAAACUCAUCGCUCUCCAGAAUGGAAGAGAUGAUGAAGGUCAGGCAUGGGUUUUCCAUGGCAACAAUAGGGAAGGAAGGAGGAAGAAAAACAAUGUCAUAUCUAAAAUUAGGGAGAGAAGAAAGAAGAAAGGAGAUGAGUGAACUGCAGCUAGAAGACACAGUAACAUUUUCUGUUUUCAGAAGACAUAGUAACAUUUUUCUUUCUUUAGGAAAGCUCUUCUGAGACUUUCUUGUGACUUCAGGAACAAACUUUCUAUAGCAGUGGUGCCUAAUUCUUCUGAUCAGAGGAUCACAAUUUAUUUUGUUGGCCAAGGACCUGCUUAUGUCUGGAUGUAAAGACUUGACAGUCUUUUGAUGUCAUCAAAAUAAGCAUUGUGCUCCCUUCAUACACACAAACUCAUUGCAAGCUGUAUAUCUGGGAGCCACAAAAACUGUUUACACUAUAAACAGCAGUGUAACAGUGUUGAGUCCCCAGAGGCUCCCAGGUAAGAGAGAGGUUAGGAAGCUGUCAAUGAAGGAACAGAUUUCCUACACAUGCAGUGUCAUCAAAUAACUUUAAUCUGUCUGCUUCAGAACAUAACAGUAAUAUCAGUUUUGUUUUCUAAAUUUCUUUACCAGUGAUCAGCACUGAAAUAAUCUGAGAACACUGGGCCAUGCUCUCAGAUUAUUUCAAACAAUACUUGUUAAGUCAACAACAAGGCAAUCCUCCUGCUUACCUUUAGCAAAGAAAUAUAAGAAACCUUUGUAAACAUUGUCUCCCAUCCAAAGAGUGCAAGUAUUCUCUCAAAACCACUCUUUUUUAAUACACAGUCAAGCUUUUCAAGAGCUCUCAGUGUUGGUUUGGGGGACUUGGACUCUCAAAGAGUCUGUACUGAGAGUUUCAGUAUUCUCAGGCAUGCCACAAUAAAUGCAGAAAUAAAUGAGAUAAAUAAAACAACCAUGCAUUUUAAAUGGUGUCUGUCUCAGUGCUGGAGUGCUGGACUUACAUCACAAAACACCGUAGUAUGAAAAUCCUCAUUCCUCAGGAAAGAUCCACUGUUUAGAAACCUCCCAUUCAAUCUGGAGAUUCUUAAACAGUGGAUCUUUCCACUGCAAACCAGCUAAAACACUUCCAUGCCUCCAUGGUCCUUCCUGCCACUUGUGGAGACAAAACUCCAGAGUCUGCUUUCAACUACUACAAUGCUGCCAGUUUAUAUGCUAGUUUGCCCUCCUACAGGGAGAAAGCAUGAUCAUUUGUCAAUACUGUUUUAUUUUGCUCCCAUUGCACAUUCCCAGGAGACUGAUAAAACUCACCUUCCCCAUAUAUAGGGGCCAUACAGACUCUCUGCAGCAGUCAACCAGCGUUCAACAAUGCCAGAAAGCUUGCUGAUGGCUGUUGGCAGCAGGCAAGGCUCUGCCCACACUCUGCUCCUGUCAGAAAACAGAAAACAUCAGGUGAUACUUCAGCAAACUGAAUUAUCUCUUAGGAAAAAAAAUAGCCUGACUGCUUCCCACACUUCCAUGUAUGGUAAUAGAGCAAGGAGACCUCCCAGCAGACCCAGGCCCUCCUAGACUAAUGCUCCAUGGAACAUGGCAAGAGGUAACCAAAAAUCCCUUCAACAAGGCAACGAGAAAGCAGCUGUAAUGACUCCAGGGAAGAGUAGGCAACAUUUAUGAAAGAGGAACCUAUCUUUGCCAGUGCAGUGCCAUGAAUUUCCUUUUACCCAACUACACUUCAAACUCUCUCUGUGCUCACAGCUCAUGAACCCAACUGUUCCCUUAUCAAUGACUCAACAUCCUUGCUACUUUACAGUAUGAAGCACUGUACAGAGACAUAAAAUGCAGAAGGAACUCACUGCAAAUCUUACCUUGGACCUAUGUCUGCAUGUAUGAGGUCUCCAGCCACCAGGGCCACUAGGUAAGCAGGAACUGGAUAUUCCAUGUAAAAUUGAUAUACACCUUCCUCUUCUAGGUAGGAACUUUGGGUGGCACUCAUCAACACCUGUAUGCCUGCUGGAGCCUGGAAGACCAUCAUGGUACAUAUCAACUCACCAGAUAAUCACAGCUGAAUGACUGAACCACAGAUCUCUGGUUCAUUUUCAUCUAUGCCUGAUGAUGUACAUUAAAAAUAAUCAUUUACAUAACACAAAAUGUAAUAUUUCUGUGAGGUUUUAUACCACAAUCUGCCCAAUCCAUGAAAAUAUACCAACAAAAGAUAUUAUUCCUCCUAUAUGACAGCUGCCCCAAAAGCACCCACAUAUUAAAUUAUUUCAUCUAUAUAAAAUGCAACAUUAUUUGAUGCUGAUUUCAAAAGACUUCAGUUUUUUUCUUUCAAAAAUUAGUACAAUAUAGUUGAGUAUUAUCAUCAACAACCACUAUUGGAAGGGGCCAGCCAAAUUCUCUCAUAUUUUUAUUUCACAAUUACUCUUUGAGUACAAGGAAGGCAAGACCCAAGCAUGGUAGGCAACAGUUACCUUUGUGGCACUACCCUGAUUCUGGCCCAAGAACCAGAAUUGGACCUAAAAAAUUCAGUAUUCUUUAUAACACUGAAUCACAAUAUUUUUAGCAGAUGUAAACUGCUAAAAAUACAUGAUGUAACUACACUUUCACAAGUUAACAGCAACUAAGAGCUCCGUGAACCAUUCACAGGCAUCCUUACCUUGACAGUGGCUGAGUAGGUGCAUUUCACUGCAGGGGUGUCAAAGCAGGGGAAGAAGGAGCGGUUACACACCGAGUGUCCCUGUGUGAAGACAAAGGGCUUGGCAUUGCCAUAUGUCAGCUCUGGAUCCAGCCACCAGAUCUGUUGAAACACGAUGGGAGGAAGAGGUGAGGGAAACAGACUACGUGACAAGGAUGAACUGCCAAAAACAAAAUGUGAAAUCAAGGGGACUGUGGGGGAGAAGCACCACCUCAGCUGUUGAUCUGCCCAGAUGAACACCUGGCACAGGGCACAUUUCCAUCUCUAACAACACAUCUUUCUACUCCAGUUUAUUUUCUGGGAAUGCUCAGAAAAAUUUCUUACUGUCUGAACACUGAGUGGUGACAUGUAACAUAGUGACUUCCAGCCACUCACUAUUUCUGUUAUAUCAAUUUGUUUGGUUAAUAACAAGUCCCUAACAAACAUCCACACAACCUUCUUCUCAAAGGGAGUACUCUGGCUAUCUCCACCUUUAUAACUCAAUAUGAACAGGAAUAGAAGGGGUCAGGUAAUAUAAGCUGAAAAGAAAAAAAAAAAAAAACUACCCAAAACAAAUUCAAAUCCACAAACCAAAACUCCCUGAA